rnacentral:rRNA from 1 species
GACGAACCGUGCGAACGUUGUUCGGAAUCACUGGGCUUAAAGGGCGCGUAGGCGGCCCGCCGCGUCCGGGGUGAAAUCCUCCCGCUCAACGGGAGAACGGCCUCGGAUACGGGCGGGCUGGAGGGGGGUAGGGGCACGCGGAACUGUGGGUGGAGCGGUGAAAUGCGUUGAGAUCCACAGGAACUCCGGUGGCGAAGGCGGCGUGCUGGACCCCACCUGACGCUGAGGCGCGAAAGCCAGGGGAGCGAACGGG